UAAGCAUUUCCUUUCUGUGAGUGAGUAGAAAGUAUUAUAGAAAACAAUUAAAGAUGCAAUUAAAAUUUUGUCAGUUUGAAUUAGAAUUUGACUGCCUAAUCUCCUCCCUUUUCCCUAGUGACUGUCAUACUUCUUUUGGCAGGACACUUUCAGCCUAUUCUAUUACUAUUCUUCACUCUUCUCACUUCAUUUCAUACUUCCACAGGUUUAAACCUACAAAUAUGUCCUUUUUCCCUUUCAUUUCUUAUCUAAUCAUAGACUUCUCCUCCCUUUCUGCUAGCAGACCUGGCUCUAGGGGUGGUGAGCUGGGUGGUUGCCCAAGGUCGCUAGUUAGUUGAGGCUCCCACACAAAGCUGUAAAAGGUUCAUAAUAAAAAACUACACAAGAAUUAAAGGAAAAUUGAAUAAGCUUUUCUACAGCAAUACAACUGCAAUAAAAAAUUAUAUAUAAUGCAGUAGGUAAUCAACUGCUGCUUUUUAUCCAGG
rnacentral:lncRNA from 1 species